rnacentral:rRNA from 1 species
AACGAACGCUGGCGGCAUGCCUAACACAUGCAAGUCGAACGAUCCCUUCGGGGAUAGUGGCGCACGGGUGCGUAACGCGUGGGAACCUGCCCUUAGGUUCGGAAUAACUCAGAGAAAUUUGAGCUAAUACCGGAUAAUGUCUUCGGACCAAAGAUUUAUCGCCUUUGGAUGGGCCCGCGUUGGAUUAGCUAGUUGGUGGGGUAAAGGCCUACCAAGGCGACGAUCCAUAGCUGGUCUGAGAGGAUGAUCAGCCACACUGGGACUGAGACACGGCCCAGACUCCUACGGGAGGCAGCAGUGGGGAAUAUUGGACAAUGGGCGAAAGCCUGAUCCAGCAAUGCCGCGUGAGUGAUGAAGGCCUUAGGGUUGUAAAGCUCUUUUACCCGGGAUGAUAAUGACAGUACCGGGAGAAUGAGCCCCGGCUAACUCCGUG